AUUGAACGCUGGCGGCAGGCUUAACACAUGCAAGUCGAGCGGGGAAGAGUAGCUUGCUACUUGACCUAGCGGCGGACGGGUGAGUAAUGCUUAGGAAUCUGCCUAUUAGUGGGGGACAACAUCUCGAAAGGGAUGCUAAUACCGCAUACGUCCUACGGGAGAAAGCAGGGGACCUUCGGGCCUUGCGCUAAUAGAUGAGC
rnacentral:rRNA from 1 species